rnacentral:lncRNA from 1 species
GCUAUGUCUGCGUGGAGUUUUCACUCUUGGAAGAUGCCAUCGGAUGCAUGGAGGCCAACCAGGCCAGAUUACCUGUCCCUAAUACUGAGCAGAAGCUGGUGAAUGAAACAGGAGAUCCCUCAGUCAAAACAAAAGGAAAAAGAAAAAUGAAACAGGAGAUCCCUUCUCUACAGCCCAGAUGGAACUCUAAUGAUCCAGGACAAAGAAGUUACCCUGGAGUAUGUAUCAAGCCUGGAUUUUUGGUACUGCAAACGAUGUAAGGCAAACAUUGGUGGGCACCGAUCUUCCUGUUCAUUCUGCAAGAACCCAAGAGAAGUGACAGAGGCCAAGCAAGAAUUAAUAACCUACCCUCAGCCUCAGAAAACAUCCAUACCAGCACCAUUGGAAAAACAGCCCAACCAGCCCCUAAGACCAGCUGAUAAGGAACCUGAACCCA